rnacentral:rRNA from 1 species
GAUGAACGCUAGCGAUAGGCUUAACACAUGCCAGUCGAGGGGCAGCAUGGUCUUAGCUUGCUAAGACUGAUGGCGACCGGCGCACGGGUGCGUAACGCGUAUGCAACUUGCCUCACAGAGGGGGAUAACCCGUCGAAAGACGGACUAAUACCGCGUACACUCCAUCUUGGGCAUCCAAGGUAGAGGAAAUGAAAUUCGCUGUGAGAUAGGCAUGCGUCCCAUUAGCUAGUUGGUGAGGUAACGGCUCACCAAGGCGACGAUGGGUAGGGGAACUGAGAGGUUGAACCCCCACACUGGUACUGAGACACGGACCAGACUCCUACGGGAGGCAGCAGUGAGGAAUAUUGGUCAAUGGGCGAGAGCCUGAACCAGCUAAGUCGCGUGAAGGAUGACUGUCUUAUGGAUUGUAAACUUCUUUUAUACGGGAAUAACAAGAGUCACGUGUGACUCCCUGCAUGUACCGUAUGAAUAAGCAUCGGCUAACUCCGUG